GCUGGGUUCUUUCUCCUGAAGUGCUGAUGCUGCAGCAUUCCCGUCAGACCGCAGGCAGCAAGCAUCUUUCUGUUAUUUCUCUAUGUGGGCACAUACAAACCUGGGUCUUGGAGAAUUUACAGCAGCUUCAGCUUUGUAACCUACAGUGUAAGGGGAAUGUCUGCCUGCAUGGAACCAGCGUCCGACCACACAGCUGUGCUCUGGUGCUGUGUCCAGGAUUGGAAUUGGAAAUUCAAGUUGGAGAAAUGUGAAAGCAAUUGGGCCUAAUCCGUUCCUGUUGUUACUCCUUUUGUUUUCACUGGAGUUACUCCAAGGCUGAAUUCAGCAUAUGAUGAACAACUUGUUCUCCAAAGCUGGAACUUAGGGGAGAAGGUUUUAGGGAUGAUCACGCAACUCUAAGGCUCCUUCUCAAACUGAAACCCCCACAAGAGGGACAAUAUAUGGAGUGGGGGACAUUUCUUUUGAAAAAAUGAAACUCCUCACAGAUCCGCAAGGGUGAACCAGUCCUUGCUGCCGGUUAAUUCCUCCUGCAUUCCUGUGAGCUGCUGAAAGGAUCAUAGCAGACACAAGAUCCCCAUGGUAAAAUUAAGCUUUUCUUUCUUGGAGAAAUAACCAUUAACAUCUCUCUGGCUCACUCUAUUUCAUUUACUUCCUAAACAACUUAGAUCACACAGGGCUCCAGGAGGGGUGCACUGCUUGCAAAGAAAAGGCCUGAAUGAUUUUCUCCACUUAAGAGAGUCUUGUGAAAAUUGUGCUUCCUGCUGAUGCCCAAAGAAGAGGAUUUAUACCAGAUGCUUCUGCAGUUUUCACUGUGUGUGACUUGGAGGGUGGAAGAUGCACCACCAUUGCCAUGGCUGGGAGGCCGGAGUACCCUGCUGCUGAACAACCUGAGUCCUGCCCGACAGGUGGAACAUCUCUUUGCCCAGCUGGGCCCUGCUGGUGAUUCUUGUGUCAGCUCUGCCCUGCUGGGGGGCCCUGGGGGUUCCUGGGUAUCUCUGCAGCUCUGCUCGGGCACCCCUCAGUGCCACAGCCCUGGCACCUCCCUAGUCUC